GAUCAUGGCUCAGAACGAACGCUGGCGGCAGGCUUAACACAUGCAAGUCGAGCGAGACCUUCGGGUCUAGCGGCGGACGGGUGAGUAACGCGUGGGAACGUGCCCUUCUCUACGGAAUAGCCCCGGGAAACUGGGAGUAAUACCGUAUACGCCCCUUGGGGGAAAGAUUUAUCGGAGAAGGAUCGGCCCGCGUUGGAUUAGGUAGUUGGUGGGGUAAUGGCCCACCAAGCCGACGAUCCAUAGCUGGUUUGAGAGGAUGAU
rnacentral:rRNA from 1 species